UGAUAUUACCUUAUUAUUAGUGUCGUCCAAAACUGGUGCCAGAAGACUCGGUAAGGCCAGAGACACAAACGUUAAUCGUCUUAAUCAGGCGUAAAGGGUUUGUAGGCGGCUUUAAAAUUUACUUAUAAAUAACAGGUGAAGAAACAAAGCUAGAAUCAAAUAGAGGAUAUAUGAAAGAAUGCUUAGAGUAGGUCUGAUAUCCUUAGAUACUAAGUAGAAUAUUAAAGGCGAAAGCUUUUUUCCAUUAAUGAUUGACGCUCAGAAACGAAGGUGAGGAUAGGAAAUAGGAUUAGAUACCCAAAAUACCCCUCUCUGUCAACGAUGAAUGGUAGUUAUUAAUAAAAAAUUAUUAAUGGCAAUGUUAACACGAUAACCAUUCCGCCUUGCGAGUACAACUGCAAAGUUGAAAACAAAAAAA
rnacentral:rRNA from 1 species